GGCCGCACCUCGGUACUUGCCAGUAAUGUGGCAGUGGUCUCGCACGGAAUUGCCUUCGAGGGCCUAGAUUAAUA